rnacentral:lncRNA from 1 species
AGCCCUGACUUGGGUUCUUCACAUCCUCAACCUGAAAACCACUCCCACCUGCAAGAGCUGAUGCAGUGUUUGAACAGCCUCCAGAGAGUGCCUAAUUUUAUAGGAAUGGAGUUCUCCAAAUAUCCACCCAAAAAGGAGCGGAGAGGUGAGUUGAAGUACAAAUGAACCACAGAUGAACUGAGGACCACUGUGUAUUCCUGUCUCCUUUGCCGCUUGGAAAUUAAAGGAGGAAGAACUGUAGGCACCCCGCCAUUCUCUUAGCCGGUAUCACCUAGCCAGAUGCCUGGGAGAUAAAAGGUAUAAAAUUACCCCCUUAUAUUUUCCCUCCAAGGAGAUUUCGCUUCUGGGAUCCUAGCACCAGAAAAUAGAAACCCUUGGCUACUUAACAAACAGGUAACCAACACUUUUUAGACUUGCGUGUGCUUCUUGAAUUACCAAGGGAAAGGUAUGAUUUCACACAAAGUCAAAGAUGACAGAUGAUGUGUUCAGGACGUAUACAGGUGAUCUGUUGUCCGCAGCAUCUGAAGAGUGCUUUCCUUGCCUUCUCAAUUCCCCUGCUGCCUGGUAACCAGGAGGCAGCGCAGUGCAGCGCAGGGCCACGGGUAUCAAACUGAGGAUCACCUCCAGGGCUUCCACCUACCACCUACCAGCCGUGGGACAUCGGGCAAAUUCCUCGACUUGACGGGGCUCUUAUGAGGAUUAAGUGAGAUAAUCUGUGUAAAGCUUUUAGUACCGGGCCACAUGGUAAGUACUCAGAAGGGACUGUUGGUACUUACAGUUCUGGAGAGGCUAGGUCCUCUAAUCACCUGUGUUUUCUGCUGGGUGAACCAAGGGGAUUUUCCACCUCCUGGUUAGUUCAUAAGGUAUGUUAAUCACAGGAAAGUUUAUACGAUGAUGAGUUGGUGGUUGCCUAAUUUGAUGAGUCAGAUUGUUUUCUUUUUUUCACUUCUGUGUUGAAAAUAGAAAUUUAGGUCAACUUUUUGCUGGAGGCAGAAAAGUUUUUUUAGGAGUUCUCCUGUGGGGCAGCGGGUUCAGGAUUCGGCAUUGUCACCGCAGCGGCUUGGGACACUGCUGUGGCUGGUGUUCCAUCCCUGGCCUGGGAACUUCCACAGGCCGAGGGUGCGGCCAAAAACAAAACAUUCUUUUUAUUGGGUUACCUGUCUGAAAUGAGAAAGAAACCCCUUUGAAUGCCUGGCUAUCGACUCAGCCCCACAGCUGAUAUGAAUAGAUUUCCUUUGGGAACCUCAAGUAAGAGUCUUAGGAGAGAGUCUAUAUAUGGCUCUUAAGCUGGGAAACAUCGAUUAAAAUCUAGCUUAGAUUUAGUUUCUAAGGCUACCGGAAUUGAGACAUUUAAAAACUCAGAAUACCAGGAUUCUUUGGGUGAAUUUAACAGUGUGUGCUGUGAACAGCUGCACGAGAAUCAAAGGUCAUUACUGCCAUUGCCCAGGGCUGCAGUGUCAGCAAAGGCAACCCAGCAGGAGGAUGCAUGUGGUGGGAAUUUCGGGAUGCCUAGGACCACCCAAUGUGGUCAUCCCACUAAGAAGAGCUUACCUAACGCAUUGCUCUAAUAGGCUCUUAGGUUGCUAAUAAUCAUAUGGCCUUAAUCAGCAGUAAAUGAGAACCUACUUAAUCAAGCCACAGUCUUAAGGUAGUGUGAAGUAACAAGAAAAGUGAACUGCUACUAAGUGGCAUUACUCUGACAAGACUGGCAUAUUUUCAUUUUCCCAGUGUUCUCUUCUGUGCAUGAAACUGGGUUCUGGGCUUAAUAACCCUCAGCCAUAAAGUACUGUAACAUGUUAGUUCAUGCUGGGUGGCAACAGGUUUGUUUUUCAUGAUUAUGUAAUCUGAAUUCUUCUUCCAAGAAAGGAUUUGGAAAUGAGCUAUUAAAUUGGAUUGCCAGCAGACAUUUGGUCUAAAUGCACAUCUGCAUUAGCUGCAUGAAACUCCGGCCCUUUCUCUCUCAUGGCCCCCUACCCCUCUACAAAUCUGAAAACUGCAACUCUAGUGUGGCCCAUGAGAAAAACAGUCCAGCAGCUGGCCGAGGUUUACAUAAAGCAGUGAAAUGCCUACUAAGGAUUUUUAGGUGAGGGUAUUUGAUCUUCCUUGGUCUUAAAUAGCAACCUAAUGAGCCAGGCGAUCUGGGCACUCCGUACACUUGUACCCAGAUUAGAUUGGCUUUAAAAACUAAUAUAGUGUUAAAAUAUUGUGUAAAGGGUGCCUACUGGAGUAGGUUCAAAGACUUCAAGUGCUAGGUUGGUAUUUAUUGACUAAAAUGCUACUUAGAAAAGAGUUCACGUUGUUCUUAAUUUCCAAGACAAAGCUGAAAACCACAGCAAAUAACUGCUUGGGGGUUUGCAUUCCAUAGUCCUGGACUCAGAGGCAAGCUUCCUGUUCCCUCUUGGCUGGCAGACCCGACCCGAAGGCCAGGCGGUGAAUGGUUUGGUUCUUAGAGUUGCAGAAUCUGCGCUGGGUGCCAGACCAGGUGUUUUUUGUUUUUUUAAGUUCAUCGUAAAGAUUUGGAUCUCACGGAAAGAGAACAGGAGAGCAGACUGAGUUAGGUAUUUGGGCAAAGACCAUCUCUUUACAAAGAUCCACACACCUGAGUAGCUCCCAAAGAGGAGGGUUUCAAAAUAACUGAGACCCACACUUGGAAAACACGAAUCAUUCCCUGGGAUCUUCUUGGUAAGAUGUCAGGAAUUAAA